CGUCUUACCCCUUACAAGACUGGGGGGCGGUGUGUGUGUGUGUGUGUGUGUGUGUGUGUGUGUGUGUGUGUGUGUGUGUGUGUGUGAAUGGGAUGGCUCAGAAGGUAAUGGCAUCGUGUGUGUGUGUGUGUGUGUGUGUGUGUGUGUGAAUGGGAUGGCUCAGAAGGUAAUGGCAUCUAGUGCCAAGCGAAGAAAGGACCAACACCUGUCCGUUAUCCACUGACCUCCGUGCACAUAUUUACAUAAUACGAAUGGGAUUUAAGCAAGGCGUGGUGAUGCAGGCCUUUAAUCCCAUCAUUCGGAGGCAGACGUAAAUGGAUUUCUAUUAACAAAAUAAAAAGAAAAAAUAAAAUCAAGGCCGAUGACGGAGCUUGGGUUUUGCCGGGCCAUUGCCCGAUACAACUGCGGAGGAUCGGAAUCCGGAGGAAGUUGCCCCUCACAAUCAUGGCGGAUGACGGAGCCCGGGAUCUUCAGAGCGGAAGCUGCCCUUCACAAUCAUGGCGUCUGGGGCGGGGCCGAGCUUCCCUGGAUGUGAGAAAAGGGGCUGGACGCGGAAAACAGGCGAUCAUGUGACUGGGAAGAUGGCUGUCUUUCCCUGGCAUUCCCGGAACAGGAACUACAAGGCGGAGCUGGCGUCUUGCAGGUUGGAGACAGUGCCUCUGGAGUGCGGCGACUACCACCCGCUGAAGCCCAUCACUGUCACGGAGUCAAAGACAAAGAAAGUGAGCCGGAAAGGAAGCACGUCUUCUACCUCCUCCUCCUCUUCCAGCUCCGUGAUCGAUCCUCUGAGCAGCGUCCUCGAUGGCACCGACCCGCUCUCCAUGUUUGCAGCCACCUCGGACCCGGCAGCCACAGGAACAGUCACAGACAGCUCCAGAAAGAAACGUGAUAAGGAUGAGAACUCCUUCGUGGGACCUGAUUUCGAGCCCUGGGCCAACAAACGUGUGGAAAUCCUUGCCCGGUACACAACUACAGAGAAGCUGUCUAUUAAUCUGUUUAUGGGAUCAGAAAAAGGCAGAGGUGGGGCUGCGGCUUCUGCCAUGUCAGAGAAGGUUCGGACGCGGCUGGAAGAGCUGGAUGACUUUGAGGAGGGAUCCCAGAAGGAGCUGCUGAACCUGACCCAGCAGGAUUAUGUGAACCGCAUAGAGGAGCUCAACCAGUCUCUGAAGGAUGCCUGGGCCUCGGACCAGAAGGUGAAGGCUCUGAAGAUCGUCAUCCAGUGUUCAAAGCUGCUGUCAGACACGAGUGUUAUUCAGUUCUACCCAAGCAAGUUUGUCCUCAUCACCGACAUCCUUGAUACGUUUGGAAAGCUGGUCUAUGAGCGCAUCUCCUCGAUGUGUGUGGACAGCCGCAGUGCCUUGCCAGAUCAUUUCUCCCCAGAGAACGUGAACGACACAGCCAAGGAGACAUGCCUGAAUUGGUUUUUCAAGAUCGCUUCCAUCCGGGAACUCAUUCCAAGAUUUUAUGUGGAAGCAUCCAUCCUGAAGUGUAACAAGUUCCUCUCCAAAACGGGGAUUUCAGAGUGCCUGCCCCGACUAACCUGCAUGAUCAGAGGGAUCGGAGACCCACUCGUGUCCGUGUACGCCCGGGCCUACCUGUGUCGGGUGGGGAUCGAAGUGGCCCCGCACCUCAAGGAGAGCCUCAAUAAGAACUUCUUUGACUUCCUGCUGACAUUUAAACAGAUUCAUGGGGACACUGUCCAGAACCAGCUGGUGGCCCAGGGUGUGGAGCUGCUGUCCUAUCUCCCUCUGUACUCGCCUGCCAUGGGCUGGAUCUUCCAGUGUGUCUCCUACCACGCUCCAGAGGCUUUGCUGACGGAGAUGAUGGAAAGAUGUAAGAAACUAGGGAACAAUGCUUUGCUGUUGAACUCCGUGAUGUCAGCUUUCAGGGCUGAGUUCGUUGCCACCAGGUCUAUGGACUUCAUCGGCAUGAUCAAAGAGUGUGACGAGUCCGGCUUCCCCAAGCAUCUCCUUUUUCGUUCAUUGGGGUUAAACUUGGCUUUGGCUGAUCCUCCUGAGAACGAUCGACUUCAGAUUCUCAAUGAAGCUUGGAAAGUCAUCACUAAACUGAAGAGUCCUCAGGACUACAUUAAUUGUGCCGAGGUUUGGGUAGAGUACACCUGCAGGCAUUUCACGAAACGAGAAGUUAACACUGUUCUGGCUGACGUCAUCAAGCACAUGACUCCGGAUCGAGCAUUUGAGGACUCUUACCCCCAGCUCCAGUCAAUCAUUCAGAAAGUCAUCGCCCACUUCCACGAUUUCUCAGUUCUUUUCUCAGUGGAAAAGUUUCUACCAUUUCUGGACAUGUUCCAGAAAGAGAGUGUGCGGGUGGAGGUUUGCAAGUGCAUCAUGGAAGCCUUUAUCAAGCACCAGCAGGAGCCAACCAAGGACCCUGUCAUCCUCAAUGCCCUUUUGCACAUUUGCAAGACAAUGCACGACUCCGUGAACGCUCUCACUCUUGAGGAUGAGAAAAGGACGCUGGCCCACUUGAUCAAUGGAUUUAUAAAAAUGGUGUCCUUUGGCCGUGAUUUUGAACAGCAGCUCAGCUUUUACGUCGAGUCCAGGUCUAUGUUUUGCAACCUGGAACCUGUUCUUGUGCAGUUGAUCCAUGUGAGCACUCUUGUAAUGGGUUCUUUCAAGUGUGAACCGGUUGGCAAUGGAAACAAGGAAAGUCAUGAAGGGAAACCACUCCAGAAAGACAGCUGCGUUUGUCCGGGCCUGUGUUGCCUACUGCUUCAUCACCAUCCCGUCCCUGGUAGGGAUCUUCACCCGCCUCAACCUCUACCUGCAUUCCGGUCAGGUUGCCUUGGCCAACCAGUGCCUCUCCCAAGCUGAUGCUUUCUUCAAAGCCGCCAUCGGCCUCGUUCCCGAAGUCCCAAAGACGAUAAGCAUCGAUGGGAAGCUGCGGCCGUCGGAGCCCUUCCUACUGGAAUUCCUGUGCAAUUUCUUCUCUACCUUAUUGAUUGUGCCGGAUCAUCCAGAGCACGGAGUCCUAUUUCUGGUUCGAGAACUUCUCAACGUGAUCCAGGACUACACCUGGGAGGACAGUAGUGAUGACAAAAUUCGAAUCUACACCUCUGUCCUGCACCUGCUGUCUGCCAUGAGCCAGGACACCUAUCUUUACCACAUAGACAAAGUUGACUCCAAUGACAGCUUGUACGGGGGAGACUCCAAGUUCCUGGCUGAGAACAGCAAGCUGUGUGAGGCUGUGAUGGCUCAGAUCCUGGAGCACCUGAAAACCCUGGCCAAAGACGAGGCUCUGAAGCGACAGAGCCUGCUGGGCCUCUCCUUCUUCAAUAGCAUCCUAGCCCACGGGGACCUUCGUAACAACAAGCUGAACCAACUCUCUGUCAACCUAUGGCACCUGGCACAGAGACACGGCUGUGCAGACACAAGGACUAUGGUGAAAACUCUGGAUUACAUCAAGAAGCGAAGCAAACAACCUGACAUGAAUCAUCUGUCAGAGCUGGCCCUGAGGCUCCCUCUGCAAACCAGGACCUGAGAACUUGCCUUUCGGGAGUCCCAGUGCCACAUCCUGGAAGAUCUGCUUGGCUGCCAUUAACUCUUCCUGGAAUUUAGAAGUUUUUGUUAUUUUUACUUUUAUACAGAUUGGUUUUAAGCUCUUGCCUUCUACUUGGCUAUUCUGACAGCAGAAGGGGAAUCGACAGAACAUUAAAACCCAGUCUUGUUCUUUAGA